AUUUGGUUUGAAGUUCUUCUAGAGGACGUUUUCUCAGUUUUUUGUGAUUGUAACUGAUAAGAGUGUAGUUUGAUCUCAAUGAUAAGAAGUAUCUAAUUACAAUAAGAAAACUGAAGCAUCAAAUUUGUGAUUUUUGCGGACUUUCAGAUA
ensembl:ncRNA T27F7.8 ncRNA